rnacentral:rRNA from 1 species
AUUGAACGCUGGCGGCAUGCCUUACACAUGCAAGUCGAACGGUAACAGGGAGCUUGCUCCGCUGACGAGUGGCGAACGGGUGAGUAAUGUAUCGGAACGUACCUUUUAGUGGGGGAUAACGUAGCGAAAGUUACGCUAAUACCGCAUAUUCUCUGAGGAGGAAAGCAGGGGACCUUCGGGCCUUGCGCUAAUAGAGCGGCUGAUAUCAGAUUAGCUAGUUGGUGAGGUAAAGGCUCACCAAGGCGAUGAUCUGUAGCGGGUCUGAGAGGAUGAUCCGCCACACUGGAACUGCGACACGGUCCAGACUCCUACGGGAGGCAGCAGUGGGGAAUUUUGGACAAUGGGGGCAACCCUGAUCCAGCCAUGCCGCGUGGGUGAAGAAGGCCUUCGGGUUGUAAAGCUCUUUCGGCCGGGAAAAAAUCGCAUGGGUUAAUACCCUGUGUGGAUGAUGGUACCGGAAUAAGAAGCACCGGCUAACUACGUGCCAGCCGCCGCGGUAA